CAGACCAUUUCUGUUAGUUGAGGUUUCAUUUACGCUGAAUUAUUAUGUCGUGCGAUUCGACAUGGUCUGA
rnacentral:tRNA from 2 species